AUCCUUAGAUCCUUAGAUCCUUAGAUCCUUAGAUCCUUAGAUCCUUAGAUCCUUAGAUCCAUAGAUCCAUAGAUACCUAGAUCCAUAGAUCCUUAGAUCCUUAGAUCCUUAGAUCCAUAGAUCCAUAGAUCC
ensembl:ncRNA Y71A12B.26 ncRNA